GAUGAACGCUGGCGGCGUGCCUAAUACAUGCAAGUCGAACGAGAAUCCCUUCGGGGAGGAAAGUGGCGCACGGGUGCGUAACACGUGGAUAACCAACCCAUUGGUUUGGGACAACACCGGGAAACUGGUGCUAAUACCAGAUGUGUCGCAGCUGUCUUCAGGCGGUUGCGAGAAAGGCCCGCAAGGGUCGCCAACGGACGGGUCCGCGUCCCAUCAGCUAGUUGGUGAGGUAAUGGCUCACCAAGGCAAAGACGGGUAGCUGGUCUGAGAGGAUGAUCAGCCACACUGGAACUGAGACACGGUCCAGACUCCUACGGGAGGCAGCAGUGGGGAAUAUUGCGCAAUGGGCGAAAGCCUGACGCAGCCACGCCGCGUGAGCGAUGAAGGUCUUCGGAUCGUAAAGCUCUGUGGGGGGAGAAGAAGAAAGCCGGUGAAGAGCCGGCCCUGACGGUAUCCCCUUAGCAAGCACCGGCUAACUCCGUGCCAGCAGCCG
rnacentral:rRNA from 1 species